rnacentral:rRNA from 1 species
GAUGAACGCUGGCGGCGUGCCUAAUACAUGUAAGUCGAGCGAACGGACGAGAAGCUUGCUUCUCUGAUGUUAGCGGCGGACGGGUGAGUAACACGUGGAUAACCUACCUAUAAGACUGGGAUAACUUCGGGAAACCGGAGCUAAUACCGGAUGAUAUUUUGAACCGCAUGGUUCAAAAGUGAAAGACGGUCUUGCUGUCACUUAUAGAUGGAUCCGCGCUGCAUUAGCUAGUUGGUAAGGUAACGGCUUACCAAGGCAACGAUGCAUAGCCGACCUGAGAGGGUGAUCGGCCACACUGGAACUGAGACACGGUCCAGACUCCUACGGGAGGCAGCAGUAGGGAAUCUUCCGCAAUGGGCGAAAGCCUGACGGAGCAACGCCGAGUGAGUGAUGAAGGUCUUCGGAUCGUAAAACUCUGUUAUUAGGGAAGAACAUAUGUGUAAGUAACUGUGCACAUCUUGACGGUACCUAAUCAGAAAGCCACGGCUAACUACGUG